UUGUUUUCUCAAAAAUACAGAAGGCUUCACGAAUUUGCGAGUCAUCCUUGUGCAGGGGUCAGGCUACUCUUCUCUGCAUCGCUCCAGUUUUAAGAAAAUCACUUAGUUU